UGGGGAAUAUUGCACAAUGGGCGCAAGCCUGAUGCAGCCAUGCCGCGUGUGUGAAGAAGGCCUUCGGGUUGUAAAGCACUUUCAGCGGGGAGGAAGGCGUUAAGGUUAAUAACCUUGGCGAUUGACGUUACCCGCAGAAGAAGCACCGGCUAACUCCGUGCCAGCAGCCGCGGUAAUACGGAGGGUGCAAGCGUUAAUCGGAAUUACUGGGCGUAAAGCGCACGCAGGCGGUCUGUCAAGUCGGAUGUGAAAUCCCCGGGCUCAACCUGGGAACUGCAUUCGAAACUGGCAGGCUAGAGUCUUGGAGAGGGGGGUAGAAUUCCAGGUGUAGCGGUGAAAUGCGUAGAGAUCUGGAGGAAUACCGGUGGCGAAGGCGGCCCCCUGGACAAAGACUGACGCUCAGGUGCGAAAGCGUGGGGAGCAAACAGG
rnacentral:rRNA from 1 species